GCGGGAGUAAUUCAGCGGUAGAAUGCUUCCUUGCCAAGGAAGAUGUCGCGAGUUCGAAUCUCGUCUCCCGCUCAA
rnacentral:tRNA from 1 species